GCUCGCUUUGCUGGCACACAGACUAAAUUGGAAGGAUAUAUCAAAGAUUAGCAUGGCCCCUGUGCAAUGAUGACAUCAAGUUUACGCAGUGCUCCAUAAUUUU
ensembl:snRNA U6 U6 spliceosomal RNA